rfam:Ictidomys tridecemlineatus contig005220, whole genome shotgun sequence.
GGAGUUGUGGCUCAGUGGUAGAGCACUCGCCUAUUAUGUAUGAGGCACUGGGUUCGAUCCUCAGCACCA